CAAAAUUAGGCACAUGAAAUAAUAUAAUUAAUGUUUAAACUCUUCUCUACAAAUCUAUAUUCUUUUAAUCUAAGUCUACAGGAUAUCAGAAUUCUAAGAAAAACUUGGAAAUCAUGUUCAGGACUAUACAGGACUUUAAAAGCUUUAUCUUCCCAAACUGAAAACCAGACCUCUCAAGUCUAGCUGCUCUCCUCCAGGUGCUGCAUAAAUGGACCUGGUCUUUGGCUACCUUACUUUGGAUCACUUGGUUGAAACAGUUCCCUUAGUCAACUUGUCCACUGGACUUAAGCUGUGGGACACAGAAAUUUUCCCUGGAAGAACAGAACAAUGAAGAUGAAUAGUUGAAAAAUGAGAGAAUCCUGCAUUCUAAAGGAUCUAGUCUGGAUGCCAGGAGCUGUGUAUAGGAUGAGAGCCUGGUGGACCUGAUUGACCGCCUGUUGUUCAGUUCAGUUCAGAGACUGAAAAUCAGGAUUUGUGCUGGAGAGUCUUUGAACUGUGUGUGAAAGUAUCUGAAGGUCCAUGACAAUUUGAAAGGUUUGAGCACACAAUGAAAUGAGUUGAUAUUGACUGUUGGGAACCAGAGUUCUCAGUGGAUGAAGAGACACAGAAAAAUAAAAUGAAGGAAGGCAAAGAAGAUCUCUGAAGAGAUGGAUUGGAAUUGGAAGCAUUAGUAUGAACCAUGAUUCUAAAAUAGUUAUAUAUUGAUGUCUAUGCUUGUAUAUAUCCAGAAGUUUAUGUAUGUAUGUUUAAAUGUGUGUGUAAUAUAUAUGUAUACAUAUAUGUACACAUGUAUAUAUUUCCUAGCUUUGUCUACUGAAAGGGUCCACAAGCAAAAUCUUGUAGCGGAUCUUGGUCUCUAAGAUUGUUCCCUGUUAAAAAAAAAACAGGAUCCGUUGGAGAAAUUGCUGAUUCCAGUGCUGUAGCAGAAAAGGUAAUACAUGAUCCUAAAAUCAGUAGUCUCAUUCUGUUAGAUUACUGUGGGGUUCAGUAUGGUAGCCACUAGUCUCUUGUGCUAUUUAUUUAUUUAUUUUUAUUAUUAUGCUUUAAGUUCUAGGGUACAUGUGUACAGCAUGCAGGUUUGUUGCAUAUGUAUACAUCUGCCAUGUUGGUGUGCUGCACCCAUUAACUGGCAAUUUACAUUAGGUAAAUCUCCUAAUGCUAUCCCUGCUCCCUCCCCCAACCCCAUGUCAGGCCCCAGUAUGUGAUGAUCCUCAUCCUGUGUCCAAGUGUUUUCAUUGUUCAGUUCCCACCUGUGAGUGAGAACAUGCAGUGUUUGGUUUUCUAUCCUUGCGAUAGUUUGCUCAGAAUGAUGGUUUCUAAUUUCAUCCAUGUCCCUACAAAGGACAUGAACUCAUCCUUUUUUAUGGCUGCAUAGUAUUCCACGGUGUAUAUGUGCCACAUUUUC
rnacentral:lncRNA from 1 species